rnacentral:rRNA from 1 species
GGCUGUCGUCAGCUCGUGCCGUGAGGUGUUGGGUUAAGUCCCGCAACGAGCGCAACCCCUAUGUUUAGUUGCCAGCACGUAAUGGUGGGGACUCUAAACAGACUGCCUGUGCAAACAGAGAGGAAGGAGGGCGACGUCAAGUCAUCAUGGCCCUUACGUCCGGGGCUACACACGUGCUACAAUGGACGGUACAGAGAGCAGCAAGCUGGCAACAGCAAGCAAAUCUCAAAAAGCCGUUCACAGUUCGGAUUGGGGUCUGCGGCUCGACCCCAUGAAGUUGGAUUCGCUAGUAAUCGCAUAUCAGCA